GCCAAACGGAUAGAGUCUGCAACAACGGAAAUAUCUCUCCGCUCCUCCUCUGACGCCAGUAUGUCCUCUUCUUUGCUAUCUUUUUCGUUUCCUGCUCCACCUCCUAUUGCCGGAUUGAAGAAGAAUAACGUGCAAUCCCAAUAAAGGAAAUUAGAGACACAUCUAAUUGAAAGACUAAGUAAAAAUGUAAUCUAUACCAUCUUUAAUAAUUGAGAUGCUACUAAGAAUGGUAUAUUGAGAAAUGCUAUUUGAAAAAUAAUAUGCUAACAUAGUAAAAAUAUUUAAAACAAAUUAUAAAUGACGAGAGAGAGAAAAAAAUCAAAAUAAAUAACAAAGGAAACAAAUAAUAGAUUAUUAUAAAAUUUAAUCUUAUAGAUUUAUAUGUACAUAUAACUAUACAUAGAUAUAUAUUUAUUGAUAUGAAUAAUGUAUAAAAGCAUUUAUCAUUUACAUGUAAAAACGAAAGUGCACCGGUUCGUUCCAGUCGAAUGAAUGAACCUGUAGAUACGUAUUAUUUAUCACUCUGCUCAAAGUAGUUACUAUACUAUACUAUAGAACAUUGCGAAGCAACUAAUAUAUCGUGAUGGUAGAUAAAGGACCGUUUGUCGUACAAUGGGAAAUUUUUAACGGCGAUAGUGAGUAAAUUAUUCCACUGCACAAUCACAAAAUCAAAUUUCUCGACAUUUAUUAUGAAACGAAAAAAGAGAAUCUCUUCUACUAGAAAUAACAUUGUCUAGAUGCAUUUGAUUUCUUAUGCAUAAUUUUCAUAAAGCAUCAUUAUCGCAAUAUUCAAUUGCUAAAAUAAAAAACUUUAUACAUUUGCCAUUAUAAUGCAUCUACUUUGCACAUUAUAUAGGAAUGUAUCGAAAUAGCAAAUUUAUACGUAUGAAGACUCUGGCGGUGGGACGUUGGCCAGUAAUUGGGCCAGUAAAACGGGUCAAUCGAUUUUGUCGCGAAAAAGCUUGCGGUCCAAAAACCUAUUUAGCUCGACGAGAGGAGGAGAGGGUUCACAAUACACCGCAGUGACUCAGCUUGCUUCUUUGUAUUCUUUUUUGAUCGUUUGUCUUUGAAUUCCAUAAUUGUUCAUCAUGCACAACUCAUACGUUCAUUGGUCAUUGUACUUCCGUUUAAUGUCCCCAUGUUUGUUAUAAGCUCUCGUAAAAAAGGACGCAAGCAGCUGACCUUGAUAAUAAAUAUAAUAUCUUUCAUAGUUACUCGAUCUAACAAUUAUGAGAAACAAAAAUUAAAAUAAAUAAUAGUAAGCUAUA